GGAAAUUGCGUGCUGGUGGAUGUCUGGAGCGCGAGUUGCACAUUAUUCAACAGCGCCCCCUCGGGUCACACUUUUCGGUGGGUCGCAGAAUUCGGUGUAACAACGGGACUCACUGCACGAAUAUGUGACGUUCGGCUCAGCUGCACUUGGAGGUUAUGAUGCAUCACUCGAUUUUUAGGGAUGAUUCAAAGCCAGAAGUCAAAUGCUGCACAACUUGCUGCACACUUUUCCACUGCCCCCUAUGCCCAACUUUUAAACCAACCGUAAACACGAAGCUUCAGUGCCACCUGGAAUCCCACAUAAAACAUUCCAUUACAUUUAAAGGGGCCACUUGACAACAUUGUGGCUGGAGUUUCCUGGCUGCGUCAGAAUGCAGGUUUUCUCAGGGGGAAGGUGGUCGAGCCCGCAUUUCGAAUAUGGACG
ensembl:lncRNA